rnacentral:rRNA from 1 species
AUUGAACGCUGGCGGCCGGCCUAACACAUGCAAGUCGAGCGAGCGGCGGACGGGUGCGUAAUGUAUGGGGACUGCCCGAUAGAGGGGGAUAACUACUGGAACCGGUGGCUAAUACCGAAUACUGUCGGAUAACCCAUAUGGGAUUAGCUAGUAGGUAAGGUAAUGGCUUACCUAGGCGACGAUCCCUAGCUUGUCUGAGAGGAUGAUCAGAAAAACUGGGACUGAGACACGGCCCAGACUCCUACGGAGGCAGCAGUGGUGACUAUUGCAAGAUGGGCGGAAGCCUGGUGCAGCCCUGCCGCGUGUAGGAAGAAGGCCCUAGGGUUGUAAAGGACUUUCAGUCGGGAGGCGUGACCGACAGAAGAAGCACCGGCUAACUCCGUGCCAGCAGCCGCGGUAAUAC